UGGGCAAAGAAGACCUACUAGGUUUCC
rnacentral:piRNA from 1 species